rnacentral:rRNA from 1 species
GUCUAUUCUGCCCAUUGAAAAAUAAAUUUAAAAGGCCGCAGUAUUCUGACUGUGCAAAGGUAGCAUAAUCAUUAGUUUUUUAAUUGAAGGCUUGUAUGAAUGAUUGGACAAGAAUUAAGCUGUCUCUUUCAAUAAAAUUUGAAUUUUAUUUUUAAGUGAAAAAGCUUAAAUAAUUAAGAAAGACGAUAAGACCCUAUAAAUCUUUAUGUAAAUUGAUUUUUAAGUUUAAAUAUAAGGUUAAUUAAACUUAAAGAAUUAAUUCAUUGUGCUGGGGCGGUAGUGAUAAAAAGAAUAAACUGUCAUUAUAAAAAACAAAUAUUUUUGUGAAGUAAAAGAUCCUGAUAUUUGGAUUUAAAGUGAAAGUUACUUUAGGGAUAACAGCAUAAUUUCUUUUGAGAGUCCGAAUCGAAAAAGAAGCUUGUGACCUCGAUGUUGAAUUAAGAGAUCCU